GGUCUAUAUUAGUGUCUGUAUUAAUCCCUCUGUGUGAGGAGUGUCUCUAGGGUCUAUAUUAGGGUCUGUAUUAAUCUCUCUAUGUGAGGAGUAUCUCUACAGUCUAUAUUAACGUGAGGUGUGUUUUUAGGAUCCAUAUUAAGGUCUCUGUCUUUCUACAGGCGUGGUGUCUCUCUCUCAGGCUCUCUGCUCCAAUGAGGAGUUUUCCAGUUCCCUCCUCCAUCUGGAUCUCAGUAAGAAUCCUGGGAUUCUGGCUGGAGAGGAGGCAGCGAACCUCUACCUGUUCCUGGCUCAGCCCAACUGCCUGGUCCAUUUGGACCUGUCCGGCACUGACUGCGCUGUGGACACGCUGUUCGGCGCCCUGCUCAGAGGCUGCUGCGCCGACCUCUCCCACCUGAACCUCUCCAGGAACACCUUCUCCCACAAGAGGGCCAAGGAGACUCUGCCCUCCUUCCGGCAGUUCUUCAGCUCCGCCUUCAGCCUCGCCCACGUCAGCCUGGCGGGGAUGAGACUGCCCCCCGAAGCCCUCAGGGCUCUCUUUCUAGGCCUGUCCUCGAACCCUCAUGUCAAUGAUCUUCACCUGGAUAUCAGUGGCUGUGAG